UACGUAGGGUGCGAGCGUUAAUCGGAAUUACUGGGCGUAAAGCGUGCGCAGGCGGUUUGUUAAGUUUGUUGUGAAAGCCCCGGGCUCAACCUGGGAACUGCAAUGGAAACUGGCGGGCUUGAGUGUGGCAGAGGGGGGUGGAAUUCCGCGUGUAGCAGUGAAAUGCGUAGAGAUGCGGAGGAACACCAAUGGCGAAGGCAGCUCGCUGGGACGUUACUGACGCUGAGACGCGAAAGCGUGGGGAGCAAACAGG
rnacentral:rRNA from 1 species